UACAGGGGGCAGCAGUGGGGAAUAUUGGACAAUGGGCGCAAGCCUGAUCAGCCAUACCGCGUGGGUGAAGAAGGCCUUCGGGUUGUAAAGCCCUUUUGUUGGGAAAGAAAUCCAGCCGGCUAAUACCUGGUUGGGAUGACGGUACCCAAAGAAUAAGCACCGGCUAACUUCGUGCACCAGCAGCCGCGGUAAUACGAAGGGUGCAAGCGUUACUCGGAAUUACUGGGCGCUAAAGCGUGCGCAGGCGGUUCGGAAAAGAAGAUGUGAAAUCCCAGAGCUUAACUUUGGAACUGCAUUUUUAACUACCGAGCUAGAGUGUGUCAGAGGAGGUGGAAUUCCGCGUGUAGCAGUGAAAUGCGUAAAGAUAUGCGGAGGAACACCGAUGGCGAAGGCAGCCUCCUGGAAGUAACACUGACGCUCAUGCACAGCGAUGAGGAGCAAACAGGAUUAGAUACCCGUGUAGU
rnacentral:misc_RNA from 1 species